rnacentral:lncRNA from 1 species
GUCAGUUGUGAGUCAAGAUGGAAUUGACCCCUCCUGAAAACAGGAGAUAAUGUCUUGUGAUUAAUUUAGCAAAACCUUGGCCAGGGUAAUCCCAAUGAGGAGUCACGGGAUAUCUAAAGUUAAUCACAUAAUGGAUGUAUUAAUUAUAGGGUUGACAGUAAGCUCUAAGUCAUCCUGGCAUUAGGAGUCAAAGGGAUUGAAUUAUACAGUAACCAUAGUUCAGGGUUCCAGAAUAUUUGCUUCACAUAUAUUCG